UUGACGGGCCCCGCACAAGCAGCGGAGCGUGUGGUUUAAUUCGAUGAUACGCGAGGAACCUUACCUGGGCUUAAAUGGGGAGUGACAGCUGUCGAAAGAUGGUUUUCUUCGGACACUCUUCAAGGUGCUGCAUGGUUGUCGUCAGCUCGUGCCGUGAGGUGUCGGGUUAAGUCCCAUAACGAGCGCAACCCUUACCGUUAGUUACCAUCAGGUUAAGCUGGGGACUCUAGCGGGACUGCCACCGUAAGGUGAGAGGAAGUGGGGAUGACGUCAAAUCAGCGCGGCCCUUAUGUCCAGGGCUACACACGUGUUACAAUGGCCAGUACAAAGGGCAGCUACCGGGUGACCGGAUGCUAAUCUCUAAAGCUGGUCUCAGUUCGGAUCGAAGUCUGCAACCCGACUUCGUGAAGCUGGAUUCGCUAGUAAUCGCGCAUCAGCCAUGGCGCGGUGAAUACGUUCCCGGGCCUU
rnacentral:rRNA from 1 species